rnacentral:tRNA from 1 species
GAGGGUAUAGCUCAGUGGCAGUAGGCAUGCUUGGCAUGCAUGAGGUCCUGGGUUCAAUCCCCAGCACCUCCC